rnacentral:rRNA from 1 species
UACGUAGGGUGCGAGCGUUGUCCGGAAUUAUUGGGCGUAAAGAGCUUGUAGGCGGUUUGUCGCGUCUGCUGUGAAAUUUCGGGGCUCAACCCCGAACUUGCAGUGGGUACGGGCAGACUAGAGUGUGGUAGGGGAGACUGGAAUUCCUGGUGUAGCGGUGAAAUGCGCAGAUAUCAGGAGGAACACCGGUGGCGAAGGCGGGUCUCUGGGCCGAUACUGACGCUGAGGAGCGAAAGCGUGGGGAGCGAACAGG